CGGACCUGUUCAAGGUCAAGACCGUCCGCGGCGUCGCGCCGGCGCUCAAGCUGCAGCUCAUCGUCUCCACCGCGCUGAUGACUGUCGCCGCACUCGUCGUGUCGUUCGCCGCGCUCCCCGCCAGGUUCACCAUGUUCGACUUCGGGGAGGUGAAGCAAGUCAAGAACUGGUAAGAAAUGAUGCAGUACGUCCUCGCUCACUGAUGGAAACCUUACCUGAGAACUGCAUAUGCCUUACUGACUUAAGCAAUGGCAAAUUGGCAAUGGCAGGCACCUGUUCUUCUGCGUCGCCAUCGGGCUGUGGGCCGGUCUCGCCAUCGGAUUCACCACCGAGUACUUCAC
rnacentral:lncRNA from 1 species